UUACAUUGAAGAGAGCUUUCUUCAGUCCACUCAUGGGUGGCAGUAGGAUUGAAUUAGCUGCCGACUCCAUUCAUCCAAAUACUGUGUUAAGGACUACCCAGUAAAUGAUUGAAUGAUGCGGGAGACAAAUUGGAUCUUAAGCUCCCUGUGCUUGGACUGAAGGGAGCUCCCUUCACUGCAAUC
rnacentral:pre_miRNA from 11 species